rnacentral:rRNA from 1 species
AACGAACGCUGGCGGCAUGCCUAACACAUGCAAGUCGAACGAGACCUUCAGGUCUAGUGGCGCACGGGUGCGUAACGCGUGGGAACCUGCACUUAGGUUCGGAAUAACUCCCCGAAAGGGGUGCUAAUACCGGAUAAUGUCUUCGGACCAAAGAUUUAUCGCCUUUGGAUGGGCCCGCGUUGGAUUAGCUAGUUGGUAGGGUAAAAGCCUACCAAGGCGACGAUCCAUAGCUGGUCUGAGAGGAUGAUCAGCCACACUGGGACUGAGACACGGCCCAGACUCCUACGGGAGGCAGCAGUGGGGAAUAUUGGACAAUGGGCGAAAGCCUGAUCCAGCAAUGCCGCGUGAGUGAUGAAGGCCUUAGGGUUGUAAAGCUCUUUUACCCGGGAUGAUAAUGACAGUACCGGGAGAAUAAGCUCCGGCUAACUCCGUG